CAUAUCAAUAAGCGGAGGAAAAGAACCUACAAGGAUUCCCCCUAGUAACUGCGAGUGAAGCGGGAAAAGCUCAAAUUUAAAAUCUGGCGGUCUUUGGCUGUCCGAGUUGUAAUCUAGAGAAGUGCUAUCCGCGCUGGACCGUGUACAAGUCUCCUGGAAUGGAGCGUCAUAGAGGGUGAGAAUCCCGUCUUUGACACGGACUGCCAGGGCUUUGUGAUGUGCUCUCAAAGAGUCGAGUUGUUUGGGAAUGCAGCUCAAAAUGGGUGGUAAAUUCCAUCUAAAGCUAAAUAUUGGCGAGAGACCGAUAGCGAACAAGUACCGUGAGGGAAAGAUGAAAAGAACUUUGGAAAGAGAGUUAAACAGUACGUGAAAUUGCUGAAAGGGAAACGCUUGAAGUCAGUCGCGUUGUCCAGGGAUCAACCUUGCUUUUGCUUGGUGCACUUUCUGGUUGACGGGUCAGCAUCAAUUUUGACCAUUGGAAAAAGAUUAGGGGAAUGUGACAUCUUCGGAUGUGUUAUAGCCCUUGGUUGUAUACAAUGGUUGGGAUUGAGGAACUCAGCACGCCGCAAGGCCGGGUUUUUAACCACGUACGUGCUUAGGAUGCUGGCAUAAUGGCUUUAAUCGACCCGUCUUGAAACACGGACCAAGGAGUCUAACAUGCCUGCGAGUGUUUGGGUGGAAAACCCGAGCGCGUAAUGAAAGUGAAAGUUGAGAUCCCUGUCGUGGGGAGCAUCGACGCCCGGACCAGACCUUUUGUGACGGCUCCGCGGUAGAGCAUGUAUGUUGGGACCCGAAAGAUGGUGAACUAUGCCUGAAUAGGGUGAAGCCAGGGGAAACCCUGGUGGAGGCUCGUAGCGAUUCUGACGUGCAAAAUCGAUCGUCAAAUUUGGGUAUAGGGGCGAAAGACUAAUCGAACCAUCUAGUAGCUGGUUCCUGCC
rnacentral:rRNA from 1 species